rnacentral:tRNA from 1 species
ACGACCAUAGAUCAAUUGGUGAAAGCGCCGCAAUACCGAUCUGGAGGCCGCAGGUUCGAAUCCCGUCGGUAGUC